AACGAACGCUGGCGGCAGGCCUAACACAUGCAAGUCGAGCGCACCCUUCGGGGUGAGCGGCGGACGGGUGAGUAACGCGUGGGAACGUGCCCUUCUCUGCGGAAUAGCCUCGGGAAACUGAGAGUAAUACCGCAUACGCCCUUUGGGGGAAAGAUUUAUCGGAGAAGGAUCGGCCCGCGUUGGAUUAGGUAGUUGGUAGGGUAAUGGCCCACCAAGCCGACGAUCCAUAGCUGGUUUGAGAGGAUGAUCAGCCACACUGGGACUGAGACACGGCCCAGACUCCUACGGGAGGCAGCAGUGGGGAAUCUUAGACAAUGGGGGCAACCCUGAUCUAGCCAUGCCGCGUGAGUGAUGAAGGCCUUAGGGUUGUAAAGCUCUUUCAGCUGGGAAGAUAAUGACGGUACCAGCAGAAGAAGCCCCGGCUAACUCCGUG
rnacentral:rRNA from 1 species